GCAAUCGGUCAUAGGUUGAGGAAUACAGGGCUUCCCGUCCGCUCAGCCGUUCUUAAGCCUCAAGCCGGUGUCUUAGUAGUGUGGUCGGUGACGACACGCGAAUCGACACUACCGAUUGUU
rnacentral:rRNA from 1 species